rnacentral:rRNA from 1 species
UACAGAGGUCCCAAGCGUUGUUCGGAUUCAUUGGGCGUAAAGGGCGCGUAGGCUGCGGGGCAAGUCGGGUGUGAAAUCUCAGAGCUCAACUCUGAAACUGCACUCGAUACUGCUUUGCUCGAGGACUGGAGAGGAGAUUGGAAUUCACGGUGUAGCAGUGAAAUGCGUAGAUAUCGUGAGGAAGACCAGUGGCGAAGGCGGAUCUCUGGACAGUUCCUGACGCUGAGGCGCGAAGGCCAGGGGAGCAAACGGG